rnacentral:rRNA from 1 species
UCCUACGGGAGGCUGCAGUGAGGAAUAUUGGUCAAUGGGCGCGAGCCUGAACCAGCCAAGUAGCGUGAAGGAUGACGGCCCUAUGGGUUGUAAACUUCUUUUAUAUGGGAAUAAAGUUUGGUAUGCAUACCAUUUUGUAUGUACCAUAUGAAUAAGGAUCGGCUAACUCCGUGCCAGCAGCCGCGGUAAUACGGAGGAUCCGAGCGUUAUCCGGAUUUAUUGGGUUUAAAGGGAGCGUAGGUGGACAGUUAAGUCAGUUGUGAAAGUUUGCGGCUCAACCGUAAAAUUGCAGUUGAUACUGGCUGUCUUGAGUACAGUAGAGGUGGGCGGAAUUCGUGGUGUAGCGGUGAAAUGCUUAGAUAUCACGAAGAACUCCGAUUGCGAAGGCGGCUAACAGGGCUGUAACUGGCACUGAUGCUAGAACGUGUGGGUAGGAAACAGGACUAGAU